rnacentral:rRNA from 1 species
GCUUUUGUACACACCGCCCGUCGCUACUACCGAUUGAAUGAUUUAGUGAGGUCUUCGGACUGGUACGCGGCAUCGACUCUGUCGUUGCCGAUGCUACCGGAAAGAUGACCAAACUUGAUCAUUUAGAGGAAGUAAAAGUCGUAACAAGGUUUCCGUAGGUGAGCCUGCGGAAGGAUCAUUA